GAGCAAUCCUACUAGAACUAUGCACAUACACAUUUCAGUAAUAUUUUGUUACUGUAACUUCUUCUUCUUCCUCUUCUUUUAUUUUGCGUGUGUGAUGGGAUAUUGUUGCCUGACUUUAUAUUGACGUGUUCGUUGAUUUCCUGCAUCAAAUUUAUAGUCUAUCUAGCGAUUCUAUAUGGUUUUUGGUUUUCUAGGUUUUCUUGGAUGGCUGUUUUUUCUUUGUGUGACGUGGUCUAGGGUUCCUUUUCCUUUGUUGUAGAAAAGAAUUGUUACAACGUAGUGGUUUCGGGAACUCUAUAAAUGUAAGAAUUUAACUUAAUAAUUAACACAAUGGUGCGAGAGGGGUUUCCUUAGGUUAUGUGAGUGGGUGUAAUUGAGUUUUGGGAUUGAGUUUGAAAAUCAUACUCAAUGGCCGUGCUGUAUUUAUCCCUAAUAGUUAAGAGUUUCUUUUCUUUUUAUCUUUUUUUCUUGCUUACGGGAUUUGCGAAACCGCUUAAAAAUUUUGGGAUUGAGUUUCUCUAUUUUGAAUUUUCCAUUAAAUUGUCAUGCCCGGUAACUGGUUUCCAUGCAAUCCUGACUACAUGAACAAGUGGUAGUGGGGAUAACCAAUCGGCUUGGAUGCAAUCGCAACUAUUGGUAUUAAAGCUUGGUUGAUUUAGUUUGAGAUUCAAUACGUGGUCGAGAAAUUAAUAGAAGAAAAUGAAUAUGGCAGAAAACGAGGGGGAUUUGGCCCUUCUACUUCAUGCUUUGAUUUGUUGUGUAAUGGGGAGUUUGAGCAGGGAUUUGCUUUCUUCUUUUUUUAUUUUUUAAUUCUUGCGAUGACUAAUUGCCUAAUGAAUGAAUCGUGUGCUAUAAGAAACUGCAUCGUGGAUGUUUUUCUAUUUUUUGAUUAGGCUAAAAAAAAGAGAGAUCUGUUGUAUUUUUUUUUCUGCCUUCUUUAAUUGGUGGUUAUUACUUAUUACUAGUUUGCUUGAGAUUGCACACUGGACAAUUAUGUUGUGUACUGUGUUAUUGUCAUGAAGUUACAGAAACUGUUUAUUAAUGUGAAACUGCCUUGACAGUGACUGUUAACCUGUGCCCUUGGUCCCUUAUAUUGAGCCCGGAUUCUCUUGCAAAUAAUGUAUUGGAAGAGAUAUUGCACACUAUACUUCUAGUGAAGAUUAAAGUUUAUCUUCAAUGAACAUGACAUCCAAUGUAAAGGGCAAAAGGAAAUGCUAGUCAAAAUUAACAUUAAUUAUGUGUUUCUAGGUGGCUCUGUAGAACAAACACGCAAACAUUACGAGGUGAAUGCAAAGCUUUUUGCUGAUUGAAUACACAGAUUCUUUAAUUAGGUUUGGUCAUCAGUAUGCUGAAUAACUGUAGAUGGUGUUUGAAGUUGUAGGUAUAGAUGAUUCUGGGUGCUGCCAUGUCCAAGUUCGUGUUACUUUCUCUAUCCUUUUAAUGGAUCUUUUAGUAUCCAGAAAGUACAGAAAGGAGAUUUCAGGAUUCAUUUUAAUGGGUGAUUUCUCAAUUGAAAGAUAAAUUUUUAUUGGGGACAAUUCAUUUGUAUCACCACUUGCUCCAUUCCAACACAAUGGAAUUUGAUUUCUUGCUUCUGAUUUUAUAUCUAAAACUCAAUUUGCAGUAGGCUUACUGUGUCAUUUCCCCCUUCAUGUUGUAGUAAAGGUAGAGUUUUCUUUCUUUUCUUUAUUUUUUCUGCUCAACCUAACAAUUGCUUUUUCUUUCAAUGCUUAAGGACAAAUUUGUUCCUGAGUUAUCAAACCACCCAUUUAGUAGAUGUUUUAUACCUUAUGUAGAGGCCAAUAUCACUUCAAAGUUAGAAUUUGGUACCUCUAUUUCAUGAUUUCUAUUUUCGCUGGUCUCAGUUUUAUUUUCUUGCUUAUGGUGAUGUCCAUUUAUGUUUCUAGAAACUAGUUCAGGGCAUGCUACUAGCUUCCCAUUAUUGGUUAACAAGAUAUGCUUUUAUUCAGGAGACGUGGUGAUUGAUUUUGCUAUGUGCAACUACUUUCUGGCAAACCUCUACAUAAUCUUCAGAAAAGUAUAGUAAAUAUUAAAUUUCCAACUCAUGUGUCUCUAAAUUAAAUAUCAAACUCAUGUGUGUCUAAAACAAUGUACUUCUUUAUAAGUUAAUGUAAGAAUACAUGGUUUGAUGAGUUGCUCAUCCAUCUACUCAGUUUAACAGAUGGAUUUAAGAACCUUUCUGCCACUGGCUUUAUGACACAUUACUUCCUAAUCAGUCAUAGUCUUUAAGUUUUUCAUGAAUUAGUUGUCUGAUAGUAGGCACAUGCACUGUUAACAUUUGCUUAUGUUAGUCUAGUGGUCCUAACUGCAGAGAGCCAUCUUACUCAAGGGAAAUUGCCUACAAAUGGGCAUGGGUUGCAGAGGUGCUGAUUCAGAUAUUGGAUAAAAUAACUUUAUGGAAUAUGUGAACGGUUUGAUGGAACACGCUUAAUAAAUUGGAAUGUCACUUCUGAAGUGGAGAAUCUAUUGCUGGCUUCCCAUAAUAUAUUGAUGGACCAUUUCUGAGAGGCAAAAUGCUUUUAUAUUCUCUUCCUUGUACUUUAAAGGAUCCUGACUGGUGUUGAACUUCAGGUAUUGGAUUUUGUCCACUGCAUUUACCGAGGAGUCCUGUCUGCUUAGAGCUUGUCUGCCGAGUUCUAUGCUAGACCUGGAAAAGGGAAAUAAGGUACGAACAUCAAUUCUACAAAGCAUUCUUCAGACGGUUUCAGAUUUAUAACUUAUAUUCUCAAGAUAGUGAGUUUUUCUUUCUUUUACAAUAUUACUGCACAAACUGUGACAUGAUGUUCAAUUAAGUAUUUAUUCAUAGCUGACAAAAUCCAUGAUAGAGAAUAUAAAUUUGUGGCAUUGUUAAGCACCUUUUCCCUUAUUGCCUAGGUUUUAUUUCUUUUAUCAUUAGGUUUUGUUGUGUUUUUGAUAUGGGACAAAAGAGAUUUAAAACUAAAGAAGAGAGAAAAGAAGCAGCUACGAAGAAAAAACCAAGGAAAGAGAAGAAAAAGCAGAAGAAGAGAAGAACGGGGAAAAAUCUCGAACUAUGCAAUUUUUAUUCAAUUCAUCAACAACUUGUUUGACAUUUAGAAAAAUAGAAUAUAAAUACUAAAACCUUAACUAGAACAAAUAAUACAAUAACUAGACCAAGCCUAAUAAAUAAACCUAAAUAAAACAAUAAUGAAAUUAAGCCCAAUAAAUAAACCCAAAUAAAAUCCAAUAACACAAGGAUUGAGCUAUCAAUGAUAAUAAAAAAGACCAAUGACAAAAUUUGAAUGGCAAUUUAUAAAGUGAGCAAAUAAAUUAGGGUGUAAUGCAAGGAAGGUAUUAUUUUUUAGGCACAUAAGUAAUCAAUGAUAAUUUGAAUAAUAAGUGUAAUGCCACAAUAAAAUUCGAUAUAUCAAAAGGUAAAGUGAUUUACUGUUGGGAAGAUGCUGGAAGCUACUGCUGCUGACAUGGCAUUGGGUGGCAAUGCGCUGCUGAUGUGGUGAUGACGUGGCAAUGCGCUGCUGAUGUGGUGAUGACGUGGCAAUGCGCUACUGAUGUGGCAGUGUGCGGUUGACAUGGUGAUGCUGUUGAUGUGGCAAUACGACGCUGAUGUGGCAGUGCGACGCUGACGUGGCAGUUCGACGCUGACGUGGCCGUGUGCUGCUGGCGUGAACGUGUGCUGCUGGCGUGGCUACACGAGGGGUUUUUUUUUUUUUUUUCAGAACUGGGUUAUAAAACAAAAAGAUUAUUUUUUUUUCCAAAUCCGGGUUGUAAAUAGAAAGAUUAAUUUUUUUUUCAAUCGUUGAUAAUGAUUCUACACAGUUUCUAGGGUUUAGGAACUAUGUUGAAUUUUAAGGAUUUUCACAAGCUCUAAGAGAUUGAUUAUCUGUAAAUACAAUUAAAAGUCUGUACUCUGAUACCAAAGUUGAUGCGGGACAAAAUAGAUUUAAAGUUAAAGAAGAGAGAAAAGAAGAAGCUAAGAAGAUAAAGCUAAAGAAAGAUAGGAUAUAAAUGCUACCUAACAAUAAUUAAAUAAAUAAAUAAACCUAAAUAAAAUCAAAUAACAUAAGGGUUGGACUAUCCUCCAUUAUCAUAGAUCAUACAAACAUGUGAACCAUGUCUCGGGUAUGUUGUCCCCAUCAGUUUUACUACAAGGAUUAUGUAUUGUUAACUAUAAAUCAAGCUUUCUGAUUUGGUAACUAUACUUUAUCCCAUUGGAAAUUGGUAUCUUGUACGAUUAGGUCAAUUGUUAUUAUUUUGUAAACUCUUAUUCAUUGUCUUCUUUCAUGAAUUUCCAUUUAAAGAAUUGAAGAAUGUAUACUAUUACAGAAAAGAGCAUAGAGAUCAGAACUUCCAAUCAAAUAAUGAUCAACAAACGCACAAGUCUUUCACUUAGAUUUUUACGAAUCUCUCUCUCUAAGAAAAGCAUAUAUAGAUACCACAUUUCAUUUAGCAGUUCAUUUCCAUUGAGCACAUUUAAAUUUUUUAGACAUCUAUUAACACCUGGCUCACAUUGAGCUUUUCAUUAUUGCAUAUUUGAUAUGGAUAGCUGGUCUGGCAAUUAUUUACACCAACCUCUAAACUUAGUAUUAAACAUAUCAUACCAAAUAGGAUGGUCCUGCUGCCGAGCAUCUUUCACAUGAUGCUUGAGAUCUCAUUGUUAAGCUUGGAUCUGUGUGGUGGAUGAUGACUGAUAAGUGAUAAACAUCCACAGUUGUCAACUGCUUUAAUAUUGGAGUUGCAACCUUUUGCAAAUUUUGAAAAGAAUGUCAUCAGAUUUUUUGUUAAGUCAAUUGCUCUGAUAAAGAUUAGUAUACAAUUUCUCAUAUUGUGAAGAGAACUUACCCCAGUUUCAUUGAGCUUGCUGGUGCUUCACUGUUGUGAGGCUGAGGCUGGGGCUGGCUCAAUUGGAGACGGAUUGGGGCAUGCAAGUCAUAUCCAUUUUCUACCGUGUAGGGUGGCCGGGAAGCUCUGUUUGCUUCAUCCACAUUCCGUUCUCCAUAAACCUGGGAUAAGAAACUUCUAAUUUAGGCUUUUAGCAUGUUGAUGAAUGUUCACUUUCUAAAAUCUCAAGUUCAGGUUCCACAGGCCUUUUAGCUCACUGCUAUAUAGGUAUGGUUCCCAUACACUAGACUUGAAUUCUAGAUUUGUUGUGUAAGAGCUACCUGAUUGUAGGAGGGAGUGCAUUCUAUGAAGAAUGUGUGUAUAAAUUCUUUGUAGGUUCCUUAUUUCGUGGUAAAAAGUGAAGUUCAGAGUUGAAUGGGAGAUGGAUAAAAUUUCUUAGUGAUACAUGUGUUGCCAAGACUAGUACCUUACGCAAUUCUGCAUUUUCUUGACCGAUGAGGUCAACCUUCUUAUGCAGUUCUAGGUUUUCUUGAUAAAUUAGAUUACCCUGCAAUGAAGCCAAUCAAAGCCAGUGAGCAUGAGAAUGUCUCCACAAUCAAUUUGGGAAAUAUUGAAGGCAAUAGUCCAGAAAACCUUUUGGCUCAUCUCUUUAAUUUCAUCAGUUAAAAUUUGUUCCUGUGUGCAAAAAAAGGCUGCAUUAGCAUCAACUGCAUGCUGCAUACAUGUACAAAAAGUGAUCUUGAGAUCAGUAUAGGUUUACCUUUUUAAUUCGAACACCUUUCAUACUCUUCUCCAGCUGGUUUUCUAGAUUUUCUAGAUCUUUGAUGCUCAAACCAGACAGUUCUUCUCCCAUCAAUUGCCUGCAACAUCUCAAGGCAAAUGUUAGGUAUGGUGCCGGAGUUUUAUACUUGUCCAUGAAUAUAGUGUUAGAAAGAAAACUUGUCCAUGGAUGCAUAAAUCUAUUAGUUUUUCUCGUGGCAUAUGUGGCUACAACCGCGAUCGAUGAUGUGAAACAUAACAUGGCCGUAAAUUUUUUUAACCACACAGCCUACACCAUUAUUUUAAGGCCAACGGUGACGUGUUGUUGAGAUCCUCUAUUGAGAAUAUUCAGUGAUAAUUAACUUUACCGAUGAUAUUCUUUCAAGCACUGCAGUUCCUUCCCCAAGCUUGCUGCCUCCCUUUUCCACAACUAGGAGCAGAAAAUGAAGCACAUCACAUAACAAGCAAUAAUUUGGAGUAGAAUAGAAUUGAUGAGAGCUGCUUGAAGAAGUGAUUGCCUUAUAAAUCUGCAUGUUCAUGCUACAGUCUACAGAGAACACUUAAUGAGAUGGUCGUGUAUUCAGUUUUGCACAGAGGAAUUUUGUUUAUGAAUAUUGUAAAUGUUCCUGUAUGGCGACGUUACUAUUGUGUUUGGUUGCAGGAUAAAAUUAAAUUGAACAUGGCUUGGCAUAAUAGAAAAUCAUUGUGCAUAGCGCAUGCACAGACAGACUUGUGUAUAUCCUUUUGAGUUAAUGAAAUGUUGAGAUUGGUUCUUGUA